rnacentral:lncRNA from 1 species
AUGGCGGUGGGGAUUGGGGGUGACAGGGAGGCGGAGACUGGGGACGCCAAGGAGGAGGUGAUUGGGGCCAAGCAUCUGGUGGAUAUUGGGCGAAGGAAGAAGAGUUACGCAAGCAACUCCUUGCCCAAAACCCCAAGGGGAAUCCUGCGCGUCGUCCCUUUCAAUCUGUUUGUUGGCUUGAAUUGGGAAUGGAAAGUCAAGCAGUUGAAUAAGAAGGAAUUCCUGAUUAAUUUCCCAUCUGAAGAGGUUAGAAGUAAAAUCUCCACAUGUAAGAGUUUUGACUUUGAUACAUGUCAUAUCAAGGCUAGUGUGGUGGAAACUGGGAUGACUGAGGAAGCCAUUGAUGAGCUUGCUGUUGUUUGGGUCAAAAUCUUUGGCAUUCCCAAGCCAGCUAGAAAUGAGGAUGCAGUGAAAGCUAUAGUUGAGCUGGUGGGUGAGUUUGAGGCUCUUGACAACUUGUCUUUGAGGAGAGAUGGUCCUGUGAGAGUGAGGGUGGCUUGUAAAGACCCUAGAGAGCUUCACUUUGUGAUACAUGUCUACAUUAACAAAGUGGGAUAUAAGAUUAGAUGGGAACCAGAGGGAUUUGCCCCCUAUGAGAACAAAAACUCAUCCCCUCCAGAGGAUGGAGAUGAUGAUGACAAAGGUGAUGAAGGAAAUGAGGACAUGAAUGUCGAUGAAGACUUCAAUAACCAAAGCCCUAUGAGAGGUCGACAGAACAAGGAUAACAGCUCUCAGAUGGGGGGUAGGGGUCAGCUGCACACUGCUCCCCCAGCAUACAAAGGGAAAACUUAUCAACAAGAUUCAUGCAGAAGUUUGGUAAAAAAGAUGGCAUGCAAGAAGCUGAGCCUGUUGGAGUGUGUUGACUCUGGGAGUAAGGACCUCGUUCUUUGGGAGGGUGAACCAGAGGAAGUGCAAGAAUAUCAAGAGUUGGAGCUGCCUCUCAGUGGUCAGUUCACCCUGAGAGGAGGAGAUGAGGAAAAAAUGAUCUCAACUAAUGACUCCCAAGAGAAAUGUGACAUCCCUACCUUGUCAGAUAUUGAGAGGUUGAGGGAGGAAGAAGAGUUUGAAGAAGAAGACUCUUUCAAAGAAGUGUCAUACAAGAAGAGACCCAAGAAAAGGGUGGAACCGGUUGUCACUUCUAGGAUGAGCCUCAGAAACAGGGAGAUGGCGACUGUACCAAUUCCUAAAAGAGCUGAAUUGUUAACUCAAAAGAAGAAUCUGGAGUGCACAGGUACUUCUCUUAACAACCCUUUUGCAGUUUUUCAGUUGAUUAAUCUUGAGGAGUUGAGUAACAUUGCUAUAGCAGCUAAUAUUUCUCUAGGGAAGAAUGCUGUGGAUGUUAGUAGUAACAUAGAUACCAUUAAGGCAAAAGAGCUAGUUCAAGCCAAGCUGGCUGAAUUGAGAUGGAAACAGGAAAAGGAGAAAGAGGUAGUUGUUCAACAGGAAGAUGAAUUGAUUGGUGUUUCUUUGCAGGAAGUCCCAGUCAAUGAGAGUUUGAGAAACUCAUCAGUGGAGGUAGUAAGCCCCAUUGUUGAUGAG